UAACGUUACAAUCCAAAUUUUUAAAACGUUGUUUCUGGAAUUCAGUUUUUUGGACUUAGGCGGUCAUUGCUUAUGACCACAGAAGUAUUAAAUGAAAUUAAAAAAAAAUCUU